rnacentral:lncRNA from 1 species
CUAAUAAAAGGAUAUAAAAGUUGUAAAUGCAUGGUGGAGAACAAUGAUAAAAAUAAUUAAAGGUCAGAAUCACAUAUACCAGACGCAUAUCAGCAGCUAUUACAGAGGUUUCUGCACGAAGCUCACAGUGUUAUACCUUCGGAUCAAAGUUCAACAACUGAAGGUAGUCAUUCAAGAAUUCUAGUGAUCAUUCACGGAUUGCUCAACUCUUUGCUUCAGCAGUGCCUUCAUCACCUUCAUAACCUAAAAUUAUAAAGUCAAGGUAUUCUAUGGCAUGUGAUUUACAAUCUUUGCCGAGAUUUUUCAACAGGAAUCGCAUAUACCAGACGCAUACCAGCAGCUAUCACAGUUUCUGCAUGAAGCUCACAGUGUUAUACCUUCGGAUCAGAGUUCAACAACUGAAGGUAGUCAUUCAAGAACUCCAGUGGUCGUUCACGGAUUGCUCAACUCUUUGCUUCAGCAGUGCCUUCAUCAUCUUCAUCACCUAAAACUAUAAAGUCAAGGUAUUCUAUGGCAUGUGAUUUACAAUCUUUGCCGAGAUUUUUCAACAUCGCACUAUACGUUAAAGAAUCAGG